UACGUAGGCACCAAGCGUUGUCCGGAUUUAUUGGGCGUAAAGAGCUACGUAGGCGGUUCGGUAAGUCAGGUGUGAAAUCGUCCACGCUACAACGUGGAGGCGCCACCUGAAACUGCCGUGACUCGAGUCCGGUAGGGGAGUGUGGAAUUCCUGGUGUGAGCGGUGGAAAUGCGCAGAUAUCAGGAGGAACACCAGUGGCGAAGGCGGCACUCUGGGCCGGUGACUGACGCUGAGGGAGCGAAAGCGUGGGGAGCGAACAGG
rnacentral:rRNA from 1 species